rnacentral:rRNA from 1 species
CCUACGGGAUGCAGCAGUGAGGAAUAUUGGUCAAUGGGCGUAAGGCUGAACCAGCCAAGUAGCGUGAGGGAAGACUGCCCUAUGGGUUGUAAACCGCUUUUAUGCGGGGAUAAAGGGGUCCACGUGUGGAUGUUUGCAGGUACCGCAUGAAUAAGGACCGGCUAAUUCCGUGCCAGCAGCCGCGGUAAUACGGAAGGUCCGGGCGUUAUCCGGAUUUAUUGGGUUUAAAGGGAGCGUAGGCGGGUCUUUAAGCGUGCUGUGAAAUUUUGCGGCUCAACCGUGCGAGUGCGGCGCGAACUGGAGGCCUUGAGUGCGCCGGAGGCAGGCGGAAUUCGUGGUGUAGCGGUGAAAUGCUUAGAUAGCACGAAGAACCCCGAUUGCGAAGGCAGCCUGCCGUAGCGUUACUGACGCUGAGGCUCGAAGGUGCGGGUAUCGAACAGGAUUAGAUACCCGUGUAGUC